rnacentral:rRNA from 1 species
GUUUGAUCCUGGCUCAGGACGAACGCUGGCGGCGUGCUUAACACAUGCAAGUCGAGCGGAAAGGCCCUUCGGGGUACUCGAGCGGCGAACGGGUGAGUAACACGUGAGCAACCUGCCCUUAGCUUCGGGAUAGCUCCGGGAAACCGGAAUUAAUACCGGAUAUGACGACGGCCGACAUCGGCCAUCGUGGAAAGUUUUUCGGCUAGGGAUGGACUCGCGGCCUAUCAGCUAGUUGGUGAGGUAACGGCUCACCAAGGCGACGACGGGUAGCCGGCCUGAGAGGGUGAACGGCCACACUGGAACUGAGAUACGGUCCAGACUCCUACGGGAGGCAGCAGUGGGGAAUAUUGGGCAAUGGGGGCAACCCUGACCCAGCGACGCCGCGUGGGGGAAGACGGCCUUCGGGUUGUAAACCUCUUUUGUACGGGAAGAAGGAAGUGACGGUACUGUACGAAUAAGUCCCGGCUAACUACGUGCCAGCAGCCGCGGUAAUACGUAGGGGACGAGCGUUGUCCGGAAUUACUGGGCGUAAAGGGCGCGCAGGCUGUGCUGCAAGUCAGCUGUUAAAUGUCUGGGCUUAACCCGGGCAUGCGGUUGAGACUGCGGUGCUGGAGUGCUGUAGAGGCAAGUGGAAUUCCCAGUGUAGCGGUGAAAUGCGUAGAUAUUGGGAAGAACACCGGUGGCGAAGGCGACUUGCUGGGCAGCAACUGACGCUGAGGCGCGAAAGCCAGGGGAGCAAACGGGAUUAGAUACCCCGGUAGUCCUGGCCGUAAACGAUGAAUGCUAGGUGUGGGUGUAGAGAUACAUUCGUGCCGGAGUUAACGCGAUAAGCAUUCCGCCUGGGGAGUACGGUCGCAAGAUUGAAACUCAAAGGAAUUGACGGGGGCCCGCACAAGCGGUGGAGCACGUGGUUUAAUUCGAUGCAAACCGAAGAACCUUACCUGGGUUUGACAUGUACGUGGUACGGAUCUGAAAGGUGAAGGACCUUGUCUUCGGAUGAGGAGCGUACACAGGUGCUGCAUGGCUGUCGUCAGCUCGUGUCGUGAGAUGUUGGGUUAAGUC